UACGAAGGGGGCUAGCGUUGUUCGGAUUUACUGGGCGUAAAGCGCACGUAGGCGGAUCGUUAAGUCGGGGGUGAAAUCCUGGAGCUCAACUCCAGAACUGCCUUCGAUACUGGCGAUCUUGAGUCCGGAAGAGGUGAGUGGAACUCCUAGUGUAGGGGUGGAAUUCGUAGAUAUUAGGAAGAACACCAGUGGCGAAGGCGGCUCACUGGUCCGGUACUGACGCUGAGGUGCGAAAGCGUGGGGAGCAAACAGG
rnacentral:rRNA from 1 species